AUGAACGCUAGCGGCAGGCUUAAUACAUGCAAGUCGAGGGGCAGCAUGGAAUAGCAAUAUUUGAUGGCGACCGGCAAACGGGUGCGGAAACACGUAACGCAACCUUCCUUUAAGUGGAGAAUAGCUUCCCGGAAACGGGAAUUAAUACUCCGUAACAUUAUGAGGUGGCAUCAUCUUAUAAUUAUAGAUUUUAUCGCUUAAAGAUGGGCCGUGCGCCUGAUUAGGUAGUUGGCGGGGGUAACGGCCCACCAAGCCUUCGAUCAGUAACUGGUGUGAGAGCACGACCAGUCCACACGGGCACUGAGACACGGGCCCGACUCCUACGGGAGGCAGCAGUAAGGAAUAUUGGUCAAUGGACGCAAAGUCUGAACCAAGCCAUGCCGCCGUGGGAGGAUGAAGGUCCUCUGGAUUGUAAACUUCUUUUAUUUGGGAAGAAAUCCCCUGAAUUCUUUCGGGGGUUGACGGUACCAGAUGAAUAAGCACCGGCUAACUCCGUGCCAGCAGCCGCGGUAAUACGGAGGGUGCAAAGCGUUAUCCGGAUUUAUACUGGGGUUUUAAAAGGGUGCGCAGGCGGAUAUGUAAGUCAGUGGUGAAAUCUUCCCGCUUAACGGGAAAACUGGCCGUUGAUACUAUAUAUCUUGAAUGCUGUGGAGGUAAGCAGAAUAUGUCCAUGUAGCGGUGAAUAAUGCUUAGAUAUGACAUAGAAUACCUAUUGCGAAGGCAGCUUACUACACAGAUAUUGACGCUCAUGCACGAAAAGCGUGGGGGAUCAAAAACAGGAUUAAGAUACCCUGGUAGUCCACGCCCUAAACGAUGAUUACUCGACAUACGCGAUAUACUGUGUGUGUCUGAGCGAAAGCAAUUAAGUAAUCCACCUGGGGAAGUACGAUCGCAAGAUUGAAAACUCAAAGGAAUUGGCGGGGGUCCGCACAAGCGGUGGAGCAUGUGGUUUUAAUUCGAUGAUACGCGAGGAACCUUACCUGGGCUAGAAAUGCGGGCGUGGACAGAUGGUGAAAGCUGUCCUCCUGGCAACAGGCGCGUCGUAAGGUGCUGCAUGGCUGUCGUCAGGCUCGUGCCGUGAGGUGUUGGGUUAAGUCCCGCAACGAGCGCAACCCCUAUCACUAGUUUGCCAUCAGGUAACGCUGGGGAACUCUAGUGAAACUGGCCGCCGUAAGGCGUGAGGAAGGAGGGGAUGAUGUCAAGUCAUCAUGGCCUUUAUGCCCAGGGCUACACACGUGCCUACAAUGGGCGCUACAAAGGGGCUGCCACUUGGCGACAAGGAGCUAAUCCCAAAAAAAGCGCUCUCAGUUCAGAUUGCAGUCUGCAACUCGACUGCAUGAAGCUGGAAUCGCUAGUAAUCGUAUAUCAGCAAUGAUACGGUGAAUACGUUCCCGGGACCUUGCACACACCGCCCGUCAAGCCAUGGGAGCCGGGUGUACCUAAAGUCGGUAACCGUAAGGAGCUGCCUAGGGUAAAAUCGGUGACUGGGGCU
rnacentral:rRNA from 1 species